AUGAAUGCUGGCGGCGUGUCUAAGGCAUGCAAGUCGUACGGAUCAUUUUCUGUAGCAAUACAGGAGAUGGUUAGUGGCAAACGGGUGAGUAACACAUUGGUAACCUGCCCUCCAGUCGGGUGCAACUCGCCGAAAGGCGAGCUAAUUCCACGAUGGUCUCCGGGGUUAAAUCCGGAGUAAAGCGCAAAACGCGCUGGAGGAGGGGCCUAUGUCCUAUCAGCUAGUUGGUGAGGUAACGGCUCACCAAGGCUAUGACGGGUAGGGGAUGUGAGAGCAUGAUCCCCCUCACUGGGACUGAGACACUGCCCAGACACCUACGGGUGGCUGCAGUCGAGAAUAUUCGGCAAUGGGCGAAAGCCUGACCGAGCGACGCCGCGUGUGGGAUGAAGGCCUUCGGGUCGUAAACCACUUUUGCCGAGGAAGAAUUAUGACGGUACUCGGAGAAUAAGAGGUUGCUAACUCUGU
rnacentral:rRNA from 1 species